GCCGGGGCCUGGCCGGGCUCGUGGGCAAGCGUGGCUACGAGAGUGCCGGCGAGGGCCACCGGGCUGCCCGGGUGGCGGGGGCAGGGCUGCCCUUCUCGGCCAACGGGCGCCCGGCAGCCUCGGGGCUGCGCGCGGGCUCCCAGCCAGCCGCCAAGCGCCAGAAGCUGAACCCCGCCGACGCCCCCAACCCCGUCGUCUUCGUGGCCACCAAGGACACCAGGGCGCUGCGCAAGGCCCUGACGCACCUGGAGAUGC
rnacentral:lncRNA from 1 species